UGGUUAUAGCGAUGGGGCUCACCUCUUACCAUUCCGAACAGAGAAGUUAAGCCCAUUAGCGCCGAUGGUACUGCAUUUGUGGGAGAGUAGGUCGUUGCCUUUU
rnacentral:rRNA from 1 species